rnacentral:misc_RNA from 1 species
UCUUCAGCUGCAGUCGCCAUCUUGAAUUUAGUGUAGUGCCAGUCGGGGGGGCGGUGACAUAUUUUACCCGUCAUCGUCAUAAUUUUGUGAAUUUGUUGAAAAAAAUCCAAAAUAAGUGUCGUAUCAACGUGUAAAUAGUUUAUGUCAGGACUGAACGUGAGGAUGGCGGGUCAGACUAUAAACGAUAGGCUGCUUGCGGCCCGACACAGCAUCGCCGGCCAGGGUUUAGCCAAGUCGGUCUGCAAAGCUACAACAGAAGAAAUGAUAGCACCGAAAAAGAAACAUUUAGAUUAUCUAGUCCAUUGCACAAACGAGCCAAACGUGUCGAUACCGCAGCUGGCCAACCUGCUCGUGGAGCGCACGCAGAACACCAACUGGGUGGUGGUGUACAAGGCUCUCAUCACCGUUCAUCAUUUACUAGCAUAUGGGAAUGAGAGGUUCACACAAUACUUGGCGUCAAGCAAUUCGACGUUUCAACUCAGCAAUUUUCUAGAUAAAAGCGGCGUGCAAGGCGCGGCCGGUGCCCGGAUUGGGUAUGACAUGUCGCCGUUCAUCAGGCGCUACGCCAAGUACCUGAACGAGAAGGCGUUGUCCUACAGGACUGUAGCGUUCGACUUUUGCAAGGUGAAGAGAGGCAAGGAAGAGGGCUCGCUGCGAAUGAUGAACGCUGAGAAGCUGCUGAAGACCCUGCCAGUGCUCCAGGCGCAGUUGGACGCGCUGCUCGAGUUCGACUGCACGGCCAACGAUCUCACCAACGGCGUCAUCAACAUGUGCUUCAUGCUGCUGUUCAGGGAUCUUAUCAGAUUGUUCGCAUGCUACAACGACGGUAUAAUUAAUCUGUUGGAGAAGUACUUCGACAUGAACAAGAAGAACUGUCGCGAGGCUCUCGAUCUUUACAAGAAGUUCCUCAUCAGGAUGGACAGGGUCGGCGAGUUCUUGAAGGUGGCUGAGAACGUGGGCAUCGACAAGGGCGACAUCCCGGACCUCACCAAGGCGCCGAGCUCGCUGCUGGACGCGCUGGAGGGACACCUCGCCACCCUCGAGGGGAAGAAGGGAUCCGCCGCCAACACGCCCACGCAGACCGCCAGUGCCCAGAAGAACGUGGCCAGCGUGAUGGGCGCCUUGUCGUCGACGUCGUCGUCGUUCGGCAACGCGGCCGCCUCCACGCGCCUCGACAACCAGCCCAACGGCGCCGCGCCCAUGUUCAUCGACGACUCGCUGCGCCAGCAGGCGCUCGCCGAGGAGGAGGCCGCCAUGAACCAGUACAAGGUGCACUUGUUGCAAGGGACAGAAUUGACGGGCGACGAGGAUAUAUCCGAUAUAGUUAAUAAAGUGCAAUCGCCAACAAACGCAGCGAACAAUCCGUUCCUGUCCACCGCUCCGACCAGCAACCAGCAAUCGAUCGUGGACCUGUUCGGCCCCACGCCGGCCGACACAGCGAGCACGACCAGCAAGGCGUCUGACGAUCUGCUGUCGUUGGGCAAUCCGUUCGCAGAUAUGUUUGGAGCCGGGCCGCCGGUGUCGGGCGCGGGCGCGGCCCCGGGCGCCCCCGCGGCGGCCCCGUGGGGCGCGGCGCCGCCCGCCUCCAACGGGUUCGCCGCCUUCCCCCCGCCGACGUCGCAACACAACAACACGUUUGUUUCCGACGCUAACUUCUCUAACGUAUUCGAUAACACUGACACCGCAGGUCAGCAACCUCAACAGCAACCUGGCAAAGUUUUGACAGGUGACCUGGAUUCGUCCCUCGCUCAACUGGCCAACAACUUAACCAUAAACAAGAGCGCCGCCGCGCAAAACUCAUGUGCAUGUACACGCUGUUCAUUGGCCGGUGUGAUGUUAGACCGAUGCAGUGGAACUCGCCGAAGAAUGCGUCCAAGCCGGGAGCCACUUGGAGUCCACAGCCAAUGCAGGCGACCACGGGCGCCGGAUACAGGCCAAUGGGCCCCGGCAUGACCUUACCGCCAAUGCCCCACACUUUGCCCCAUACAUACCAUCCCCCGCAUUAUGUUAUGCAACAGCCAGGGAUGGUAAUGGGCAUGCCUGGAGCGCCGAUGAUGCCAAUGGGGAUGGUACAGCCGAUGCGGCCAGCCGUGCCGCCGCAACCCACCACCAAUCAGUUCAGUUAAACAACAUACUACCUUCUUCACGGCUCAUUAGGUACACGGGACUCGACUGUUCGCACCAUUCAAUACAAAUCGUACGGAAUCCUUAGUAAUACUGGCUAAUACUAAGGUUUCAUUGUUAGGUUGGUAAUAAAAAUGGUAGAUAUUGCCAGCAAAAAGUUUUAAUGGUAGAUUUAUAGUUUGAGCUGGCAACUCUGUUAUUGCCAAUUGUACGUCGUACGUUUUUAUUUAUUUUUAAGUAUGAAUUGUUAUAGUUAAUUCAACAUUAAAAAUAAUAGUUUCGGGAUCGGGUAUCCAAGUUUAAAUGCUUUUUUCGUACGAAAACUGAUGGAAACAGUCGGGUCGUUAUUAUAAUGCCAUAGUCACUAUAGAAUUGUAUUUACGUGGCAAUAAUAUAUAUUGUAUAUUAAUUUGCGAUUCUACAUAAAACAUUAUGAAGAACACUUUUAAGUUCAAUUCUUAUGAAUCACGAGGUCUGUGAGACCCGUAAGUUUUGUUUUAUAAUUAUAUUAAGACCUCUGUUAAAGGUAAAACAUUGUAUUUAAAGUUACCUUUCAAGUCCGUUGGUGGUUAUUAUAAGAGGUUUUUCACAUAAUUUUGAUGUUUAUUCUCAUCAUAUUAUACUGGAACACGUUGCCAUAAACAGUGGCGAAUAAGCUUGUCGAUAAUAAAUUAUUUAAAAAAUACAAUAUACUGUUGAUAAACAAAAAUAACAAGUUACAAUAAUUUCAUUAUAUUUGACGAAUUAUUUUGUCGCAUAUUUCUCUUAUGAAAUUGGUGCAUAAUUAGAUUUUUUUUUUAUAACAUUUUUUUUAUUUCAAAAUUCAAUCGACAUCACAUUCCAUAUUGUACAAAAAUAAACGUUAUCUUAUUGUCUAUGGUAUAUAUUUUGUCUCACUAACAACAUACGUUUUGGCUUCAAGUAAUAUUGGAAUUGUAAAGCCAUUUUAAUUGUCCAGUUGCGUUAGAUUAGAAUGUUAAAAAUGUAUCAUGAUGCAACUGUUUGAUGAAAAUGUUUAGUGUUAUUACCAAUGUUUGUCGUAUUAACCAUUUAUGUAUAUCUAUUGGCAUAUUUAGUCGUAAUGAAUACAUGUUUAACUAUUUAUGUACUUUGUAUUGCUGAGGUCUUCUAAAUUACCUGAGUGGUUGUUUUAAUAUUUAGUGAAUUUUUUAUACGUAUAAUUUACUUUUUAAUAUACUCUUUUUGGAUUUCAUCAUGAGGUAACCUUUUUAUUCGUUUGAUAACUGAAUUAUUUUAAUAUUAUGUCUUUGGAUUCGUCAAUAGAACAUUCCAGAUGUUUAUAGGUUACAAGUCUUUUUUCAUUAGAGAAAUAUAUUAUUUCUAAAUAUUUCAACAACUCGUAUAUUAAGUACAUAAUCAGCUCUACAUAAUGCCACUCAAUAAUCUUAUGUAUAAAACGCUGUAUUUGUCAUUUAGAAAUCAUGUAUAGAAAGUGUAUUAGAUUGUUAUCGAGUUAGCGGUUACGAAUGUACCAUAUGUAUGGCUGUUGUGAAUAUAAACUAGGUGCUUAUGUCGACGCCGAAAAUUUUAUUUCCUCAUUGUAUGAGUAAAUUGUGGAAUAAUCUACUAAAACAUGAAUCGUAAUAAAUUAAAUCAAAUUAAAUUAUGCUUUCUUAAGUCUCAUAUAAGCAUUGAUACUACAGUUUUAGAGAAUGAUACCACAAUUUGUUAAAAUACAUAUUUUUCUUUCAUUAAAAUAUCGGUCAUGCAAUACCCGUACGGUAGGAAAUUAUACGUUUAUGAAUACCAAGAUUUAAAUUUAUAAAAAGUUAUUAAAUAUCAAAUCAUAAUACUUCGUUUAAAUGGUCAUAUAAAAAUUAUUUAUAUUACUAUUUUCUUGAUAUUUUUUAUUUUACAAGACUGCAAAUUGUAAUAAAGUAUUAAACCAAGCUUUAUCAAAGAUUUCAAUUCCAUUUUGACGAAGUAUCGUGAAUUAGUCUUAUUUUGGUAGAAAAUGUGUUUUUUGUGUAGCAACAUUAUGGCCACAACAUUCAGUGUUACAGGUAGAAAAAAUGAUUUUGGGAAAUAUAGGAUUAAAUACACAGUUUGAAAACUUGGAAGGAAGUAUUACUUUACAUAUAAAGGCCGAUACUACGCUUCAAUAAUGCUUGUAAAUAAAUUAUAGUCGUUUGCGUAGUUUGUAUACUGAAUAAUCCUUAACAGUAUCAAAUAACCUCUAUUUUGUCAAUGUCUUGAUGUUGCUAGUUAAAAACUAUAAUAUGUACUGUAAAUACCUUCUGGUACAUUAAAUAUUAAUGAUAUUUAAUAUCAUUUGCAAUUUUAAGAUCUGUUGGUUUAUUGUCAGCAAAUUUCUAGUAUUUUUUGUGCAAUAUUAUUGUAUUUCUCUUUAUUCAUGGCAGCACAUAGUUUUUUGGAAGUUGUUUUAUGAGCUUCUUGAGAUAUUUGCAAUUUGUCUGUCAUAUUCUUGAGAUUUUUAGUUCGCCAUACUGUACUUUUUGAAUGUAUGCUGUGAUGCGAUGUGGAUUCGACUGAUUUACUUUGAACUAGUAGGAUUCGCCGUUAGUUAUUAGUUAUCAUUUUGUAAGUGGAUAAUUUAGUUUUACCCAAGUUAUGAAUUAUUUUUAGUACUCAUAAUGGUCUUCAAAAUUUUUAAGUUGUACAUUUUAUUCUAUUAUUUUUAUCGAUUUAAUGAGUUACGUUGUUUUAUGUAAAUAUUCCUUGCUAUGUUGUUUGUAAUUCGCGCGUUUAGAUAAUCAAUUUAGUUUAUUUAUGAAGAAUAAUAAAUCGAUUAAUAUGAUUUGUUUUGAGUUUUUUUCUUUGUCCUGUUUUGUGUUUUACCCGAGGGUCCACAAUGCGCCUGUCUCCCGCGUGGAGUAGGUAGUUCAAAAAGGUUUUUCUGCGAAUUAUCUGCACAUUGUUUGUGGGAAGUACAUAAAUUGGAUGUUUUCCUCUUGUUCUAAUGACAAUACUAUCUUAGCACGAAGGUCUGUUUCAAGAUUACGAUGUCGGAAUGUUAGUAUGCAUUUUGGUCUGCCUUAGAAAUGUAUUUAUAAUAUUUUUGCGUUACCAUAAUUUAUGUAUCGUAUUUUGAAGUUAUUGACUUCUUUUAAUAUUAAUUUA